AGGUGAUAUAUUGAAAAAUGGUAUAUGUAAUUAAUAUUAUUUUAAGGAUUAUAAAUCAAAAUUUAUAAAUGAUAAAAAGAUUAACUAAAAAGUAAUCAAUCAUAAUCAUGAAAAUGAUAAAAAAUAAAAACAAGUGGAAUGAAACAUCUGAGUAACUUGUAAAAUAACCAACAGGGAUAAUAUAAGUAACGGUGAGUGAAAGUAUUAGAAUCUUAAAGUAUUACCAAGAGGUAAGAAUAAAGUAGUUUCCAACUACUAAGAAAAAAAAAUAAAUUUUAGAUUAAAGUACCGCAAGGGAAAGUAAGAAAAUAGAAUAAUAAAGAGCAAUCAUUGAAUGGUGUACCUCUUGUAUAAUGGGCCAGUGAGUUAUAUAUUUUAGUGAGAUUAAAUUCGUAUAUAAAUAGAAAUUAAUUAAAGUAUAUAGGCCCGAAAGCAAACGAUCUACACAUGUCCAAGUGUAUAUAAAACCUUAUAAGGUAUAUAUAUGACUCAAUAGGUAAUUGUAGCAAUAAUUUCUAAAGAGGUGUGUGUAGCUGUGACAGACAAAUCUGGUUUGCAGAUAGCUGGUUUUCUGCGAAAUAUAUUUUAGUAUAGCCUUUAUAAUCUGUUAAAUUAACAGACAUUUAAACUGGUACAGCACUUAAAUACCUUUGGGGAAUUAGAAUAUAAUUUUAUCAAAAUAUUUAAACCUCGGAAUCAGUGAAUAAUGAAAUAUAAGGAGUCAGACUUAUUGCGAUAAGGUAGUAAGUCGAGAAGGAAACAACCUAGACUAUUAAAUGAAUGUCCCAAAUAUUAAUUAAGUGAAUAAAAUCUAUCCUACUUUAAUUUUUAUCCCGCCCACCGAAGGUGGGCGGGGGAAAUAAUAUAUCCCCCCGCGAAGCGGGGGGGUUAAUUUUUAUAUAAAUAAAAAUCAAAAGUUAAAAUCUUAUGAUUUUACAUUAUUAUAUAUAAAUGCCGGCCGAAGGCCGGCAUUUAUAAACCUAAUCUUUUAGGCCAUAAUAUACGGGGUAUUAAAUUAUAGACAAUUAGUAAGUGGGUUUGACAAUAAUCAACUUUUAAUGAACAUGUAACAAUGCACUAAUUUUAUAUAUAUAUAUAUAAUUUUAUAUAUAUAUUUAUUAAUAAUAGAGAAAAUAUAUCGGGUCUAAAUUAAUAACAGUAUUAUAGAUAUAAUCAUAAAGAUUAUAUGGUAGCAGAAUAUAUAAUGAAAAAUUAUAAAGAGAUUGCUGGCUUGAGUAACGAUAGAUAAUAUAAGAUUAUCCCCUUAUUCAUAAGGUUUUACUAUAAACGAACGGUCCCUAAGAUUAAUAUAGAAAUAUAUAAUUAAUGGGUAAAAGAACAAGAAAAUAAAAAUGAACCGUACUGUAGACCGACACAGGUAUGAUAAAAAGGGAAUGGGAUAACUACUUUGAAUGAACUCGGCGUGCGACUUGAUAAGUCUUAAUUAAUAGUAUAACAUUUUGGUUAUAUUGUGUAUCUUCCACAUUUGUCUACUUAAACAUGCAUUAUAAGUAAUUAUUUUGUAUGAAGCUUUAAGGAAUAUGUUAUUUAUUAAAAUAACUUGACACGAUACUUAUGGUGAAUGAAAAUGAAUCGAAUGUUUGAACAAUCGUAAUUAUAUUAAUAUGGGCCCCCUUCGGGGGCCCUUAUAAUACCCCCCCUUCGGGGGGAUAUAUUAGGUAAUUGAUUUAAGUAUGUCGAGUGCUUAAAUGAAGAUCAAAUAAUACCAACGAUUGAUAAUUCGGCACCUAAAAGUUGAACUGAUAUUAAUUAAGGAACAAGGUAAGCCCAAUAUUUCUCAUAAAAAAAAGAUAGAUAUUUAAUAUACCCGCCCACUUUAUGUGGGCGGUAUUUUAUCUUUAUUUAUGAGUAGUUUAUUAUAAAAUAAGUAAUUAUGGAAAUAUAAAUAUAUAAUAUUGGGUAAAAGAUAAUUGAAAAAGCAAAUGCUUAGUGGUAAUAACUAAGAUAGGAAUAAUUAUUCUAAUCCGAGAGGGUGCAGACUUCAAUUAGAUGACUCGCUAUUAAAAAUUAAUAGAGGUAACAAUAAAGGAAAAUAAACAUAAAAUAACCUUCACUAUGUGAGAGUUAUCUCGGUAAAAAAGCUGAGUAAAAUUUUAUGUAAAAGAUACUAUAAAGUUACUGAAUAAUUGGGAAAACCAAUGAAAAAGGAGUUGUUUGAGCCGUAUGCGAUGAAAGUCGCAUGUACGGUUCUGAACGGGGGAAAAUCUGUGAGGAUCUACCUAUCGUAAUAAAAUAAAUCGUGCGACUGUUUACCAAAAACAUAGCUUAUUGCAUACUAGUAAUAGUAAGUAUAAUAAGUGAUAUCUGCCCGGUGUUAGUUUAAUAAAUAUUAUUAUUGUUUAGAUAAUUUUAUAAAAGACUGAUAAACGGCGGUCUUAUUGUGAGGAUCCGAAGGUAGCGGUGCGACAAGAUAAGUUCAUAAUAAGAAUAAGGUGAAAAUCCUUUACAAUUGUCAUAUUUGUAAACCUAACUCAACAUGCAUUAUAAGUAAUUAUUUUGUAUGAAGCUUGAGUGACAACGGCUAUAAACUUUAACUGAUAUAAGUGAUCUAGUCUAGGUUAGAACAACAUGAUUAGUAUAAACUAAAUAGUGUAUUAAAAUCUCGUUAUAGGUAAGUAACUUGUUCAGUAUUUGGUUACUUUAUGAUUAAAAUAAUAUUGACGCUACGAAUAUUAUUAUAUGACUGAAAUAAAAAAAUAUAAUCAUCGGGAUAUAGCUAUAAUCUAAAUUGUUCAUAAAGGUCUUAUUAUGGAAACUUGGUAAGCCUUAUACAUACCUAAUUUAAAUACCCCGCAUAUGCGGGGUUAUAUUUAGGAAGUAAUAUAUAAUAUUAAUGAACUCCCCGCCCACCAAAGGUGGGCGGGCUUUAUUUAAUAGAAAUUAUUAUAUAGUGUAGAAGGUAAAGGAUAAAUAUAAAAAGCUAAUGAUUUUAUGUAAUGUAAAAUAUAAAGUUAUUUAACUUAUUUCGAAAGAAAGCUGACUUAUAUAUAAGGCCAUUAAAAAAAAAAUAAUAUAACAUUAUAAAUAAACGGUUUCCUUUAAGGGGCCCAUGUUUAUAAAAAGUUAUAUUAUAUUUAAGAUAAAAUAAUCAAGAUGAAAUCUUGAUGAUUAGGGGGGCCGUAGGCCCCCCCAUUAUGCCUACUAUAUAAAAAAAUAUAUAUCUAUUUUUUUUAUGGAUAUAAGUAUAAUAGGGAAAUCUUAAAAAAUGGUUUGAGCCGUAUGCGAUGAAAGUCGCACGUACGGUUCUAAAGGGGGGAAAGCUUGAGAGGGCCUACCUAUCCUAACAAAUUCAUUGACGUAUAAUUGACGUCCUGCAUGAAUGAAUAUACGAUGCGAUAACUGUAUCCAAAGUAGACUCAGUGAAAUAGCAAUUGCGGUGAAAUUAGUACUAUAAUAUAUCUAUAUUAUACGCCGGGUUGGUGAAAAUCCAACUUUAUAGUUAAAAUACCCCCGCGAAGCGGGGGGGAUUUAAAAGUAUUAAAGAAUUAUCCGGUAUUUUCCGACAUAAUAAUUCAAAAAAAGAAUACAAUCGAAUAAUACUUAAUCCUUUAAAAGGGCUAAAUAACCCCGCCCACCAAAGGUGGGCGGGGUUGAUUAAUCCUCGGCUACGCCGGAGGAUAAAUUACAAAAGGCAAAAUGUAAUUUAAUAACUAUAAAUAAAAAGGUGAAAACGGUUAAUGAUAUCUUAGUUAAAGACCGUCGGCAGUUGUAUAUGUCGCUACAGACUGGUUCACCGAGGUUAGACUGAAAUGUCUGUCUAAAUGUACAGUCGGAUUCUGUAAUAUAAUAGAUAAAUAUAUGGGCCCGCCGAAGGCGGGCCUAAUGAUAUAUUUAUUUAUAUAUAAAGGUGAAAGAUUUAUCUAUUAUUUAGAUAUAACUUAUUAGUACAUAAGUAAGAAACCUUUGUAGGUCAAACCUACUUAAGUUAAUCAGAAUUGGAAGAUGCCGUAUAUCCGUAGGUUGACAAAAAGACCCUAUGCAGCUUUACUAUAUCUUUAUUUUGAUUUUUUAAUCAUAAUUUUAUUAUGAUUAACCCUUUUUUUAUUUAUUUCAGCAGAUUAGGUUAUAUUUAUAUUUUAAAUCAAAUGAGAUACCUAUAUAAAUAAAAAAAGAAUCUAAUUAAUAUAGUCAAAAUUCAAUAAAAAUUGAAUUGCCCUUAAAAAGGGUUAUUAAUAAACUAAUGACUUAAGUUUUAACUUAUUUAAGAAAGAGUAAAGAGGUUAGUUUCGAUGGGGCGUCGACAUCAGCGAAAGCAUCUGAUGUGUCUAAUAACAAAGAUCUUGAAUAUCAAGACUAAAUGUUUAAUUAAAUUAUUUAUUUAAUAGUAAAUAACGUACAAUAAUUCUAUAUGGUAAAUAGAAUAAAAAGAUAUGAUAGGUAUUACCUAUCUUUAAAUUUUAUCUUAUCCCCGCUAAGCUUAGCGGGGUAUAUAAGUAAGGAUAACAACAUAAUUGUGCGAUGAUAAUAACACAAACAAGUGGAAUUAGUACUUACGUAGAGUGUAGUGAACAGGCAUAAACAAAUGGUAUGGAUGUCGAUAACGGAUUAAAGUUACGCUAGGGAUUAAAUGUUAGUUCCUUUAUAUAAUAAAUUAUAUAUUAUCUCCGCGAUAGUGAGAUAGCCCUCUAAUGAGGGAAUAUUAAUUGGGUGAAUAACAAAAAACUCUUUAUCAAUAUAAAGACAAUUUGUAACGAAGUAUAUAUUAGUUUUAAUAAGAUAUAUAAACGUUCAACGACUAGUAAUUGAGUAAACUAACAAUAAUAUUACCACGAGCGCCCAAUACCUAAUUUACCCCCCGCCUGAAGAGGCGGGAUAUAAAAUGGGCCCCGAAGGGGCCCAUGAUUAUUUAAUUAAUCUUUAUAUUUUAUAUUUCUUUAAUGCCCCUUUGGGGUAUUUUAUAUUUUAAAUGAUAAUGAUUUUUUAUAUAUGGGCAUUAAGGUAAAGACAUAGUCUGAACUAUAUAGUGAUAUAUAGAAGUUGUAAUUAAAAAAGCAACAAUAACAAAAUUGAACAGGGUAAUACCGCGUGAGAGUUGAUAUCGUCAGCGGUGUUUGCCACCUCGAUGUCGUCUAGACUCGUCCUCCUGGUCGCAGCAACUAGGUAGGGUAGGACUGUUCGUCCUCUAAGGAGUUACUUGAGAUGGGUUAAUUACGACGUGAGUCAGUAAUGAUUUUAUCAUCUAUGGAUUUUUUUCUUAUCUGUUGCCUUAAGUGUACGCAAGGAUAAUAAGGUACAUUCCUAUGGUUAAUUAUUUAAUUUAGCUAAGAAUGUUGUGUUUACAUAUUGAAUGCAUAUCAAAUAUUAAAUCCUUCAGAUAAGUUUAUACAUUAUAGACUAUAAUGUUUUAGUUAAUAUGUGAUUUUCGCAUAUUUUCUAAUUAAUCCCCCCGAAGGGGGUAUAUAAUAAGGGGCCCCCGAAGGGGGCCCCUAAUUAAUUUAUUUAUAAUACUUAUAUUAUAAAUUAAAAUACAUAUACCU
rnacentral:rRNA from 1 species